rnacentral:rRNA from 1 species
AUGUUCUUUAAAUUUAAAGAAUUUGGCGGUAAUUUAGUCUUAUCAGAGGAACCUGUUUUUUAAUCGAUACGCCACGUAUAAUCUUGCUUAUUUUAUAUGUUUGUAUACCAUCAUUAUUAGAUAAUAUUAAAAGAUAUAAUUAUUGGGAUUAAAUUAUUAAAAAAAUUAGAUCAAGGUGCAGUUUAUAAAUAAGUUAAAAUGGGUUACAAUAAAUUUUAUUUUAAUGGAAUAGUUUAGUAAGAGAAGCUAGGAAAGUGGAUUUGAUUGUAAUGUAAGUUUAAUAAGCUUACAAGGAAGAGGCUCUAAAUUAUGUACACAUCGCC